rnacentral:misc_RNA from 1 species
GAUGAAGAACGCAGCGAAAUGCGAUAAGUAAUGUGAAUUGCAGAACUCAGUGAAUCAUCGAAUCUUUGAACGCACAUUGCGCCCCUUGGUAUUCCGAGGGGCAUGCCUGUUCGAGCGUCAUUAUAACCCCUCAAGCUCAGCUUGGUGUUGGGGCCUGCCGCACGGGCAGCCCUUAAAAUCAGUGGCGGUGCCAUCUGGCUCUAAGCGUAGUAAUUCUUCUCGCUAUAGAGUCCCGGUGGAUGCUUGCCAUUAACCCCCAAUUUUCUAUGGUUGACCUCGGAUCAGGUAGGGAUACCCGCUGAACUUAAGCAUAUCAAUAAGCGGAGGA